ACCUCAUCGUGUCCGCCAUCUUGGGGCGACGGCCAGAAGUCCAGGGCUAGGAGCCUCAGCCGGCGGACGCCAGGAAACAGCCAAGAACUGAACCAAAAUACAAACAACAUAAACUACCACUUGAUGAGAAGAACUUCAAAGUCAAAUUGCAAAAGGAAAGUAUUUUAUCAGAAGAAUUCGUAGAAGUAGAAUCUGUUUGUCUUCAGUUAAACAAAAGAAGAACCUCAUUGCUUUCCAACUGGGCCCCGGCCAUUUUCCAGUUGAAACAUCAAAUAUUUUAUUUGUGUCUUUCACUGCCAAUUAAAGGGCAACAGAAAUGGUACAGGCUCCCUCUGCAGUGGAAUUACCCUUAUGUCUUUUCUGUCUAUGCUGAUCCACCUGAUCUUGAACUGGUGCUAUUCCAUGGGGAAAAUUGGAACAUGGGGCAAUUAACACUUUCUCCACUUUAUCCCAUCAACAGGAAAUUGAAAUAUAACCAACUAACUCAGGAGACAUCAUGGAAGAUGUCACACAGUGAAUGAUGAUGAAGCAGAAUUUUUAAAAUGUGUAGGAUUACGAGAAGUGGGGUCAUUUUUCUUUGUGUAUGGUAUUGCUGAUGCAGUUUAAUGCUCCAUUACUUCUAAAUUUUCAUCAUAAGCUAGAUUUUCCAGUUGUGGUUUCUAUAAAGAAAAACAAACAUUCUGAAGACAGUUUUUCCAGAUUUAUUCCAGAUAUCGAUGAUUAACUUUUGAAGCUCCUCUGUUGAUUUGAACAUCCGCUGAAGCUUAUUUUUCACCUCAGAAUAGCAUCAACAUUAUUUGAAAUUCAAUUGUACUUUCUCGUUACAUUAAUAAAUCAUGGAAGUUGAGAAAA
rnacentral:lncRNA from 1 species